UACGGAGGGGGCAAGCGUUGUUCGGAAUUAUUGGGCGUAAAGGGCUCGUAGGCGGUCUGUCGCGUCGGGAGUGAAAACUCAGGGCUUAACCCUGAGCCUGCUUCCGAUACGGGCAGACUAGAGGUAUGCAGGGGAGAACGGAAUUCCUGGUGUAGCGGUGAAAUGCGCAGAUAUCAGGAAGAACACCCGUGGCGAAGGCGGUCUCUGGGACGGUACUGACGCUGAGACGCGAAAGCGUGGGGAGCGAACAGG
rnacentral:rRNA from 1 species